rnacentral:rRNA from 1 species
CCUACGGGGGGCUGCAGUGGGGAAUAUUGGACAAUGGGGGAAACCCUGAUCCAGCAAUGCCGCGUGUGUGAAGAAGGCCUGCGGGUUGUAAAGCACUUUCGGUUGGGAAGAAAAGUUUGGCGCCAAUACCGCCGAACCUUGACGUUACUGACAGAAGAAGCACCGGCUAACUCUGUGCCCGCAGCCGCGGUAAUACAGACGGUGCAAGCGUUAAUCAGAAUCACUUGGGUGGAAAUGUAAGUAGGGGGUGAAAUCCCCGGGCUUAACCUGGGAACUGCAUUCGAUACUACAUGGCUAGAGUAUGGUAGAGGGAAGUGGAAUUUCCGGUGUAGCGGUGAAAUGCGUAGAUAUCGGAAGGAACACCAAUGGCGAAGGCAGCUUCCUGGACUAAUACUGACACUGAGGCACGAAAGCGUGGGUAGCAAACAGGAUUAGAUACCCCUGUAGUC